CACAUUAAAACACAGGUUCCCGUACGAUCGUCGAAGUUAAGCAAGGUUGAACCUGUUCAGUACCUAGAUGAGUGAUCGUUUGAGAAUACCAGGUUG